rnacentral:tRNA from 1 species
GGAGAAGUACCCAAGAGGCCGAAGGGGCUCCCCUGCUAAGGGAGUAGUGUGCGAAAGCGCAGCCCGGGUUCAAAUCCCGGCUUCUCCGCCA